rnacentral:rRNA from 1 species
GUGCCAGCCGCCGCGGUAAUACCGGCAGCUCAAGUGAUGUCCAUAUUAUUGGGCCUAAAGCGUCCGUAGCUGGCUGCGCAAGUCCGUCGGGAAAUCCACUCGCCCAACGGGUGGGCGUCCGGUGGAAACUGCGUGGCUUGGGACCGGAAGGCGCGACGGGUACGUCCGGGGUAGGAGUGAAAUCCCGUAAUCCUGGACGGACCGCCGAUGGCGAAAGCACUUCGAGAAAACGGAUCCGACAGUGAGGGACGAAAGCCAGGGUCUCCAACCGGAUUAGAUACCCGAGUAGUCC